UUUAUAAAUCAUGAAUUUCUCCUUGAUUUGAAAAAGACGAAUUUCCGGUGGGUGACAACGAAACAAGUGCAAAUUCAACAGGAAGAUGUCCAUUCAACACUUCUCAAGCCAAUGAACCCACUGGACGGGCUCUGUGUAUCGGCGAUAGUAGUAACCAGAGCCAAUGGCAACACGUGGAUAAUUGCGGACCAUUUACAAAUGUCACAGAUACUCUCACCAAAAUUGCACAGGUAAUCGUAAGUGAAGAAAACGCAGGUGAAGUGAGCCAGCAAGUAUCAUCUGUUACUUCCAACAUCGAAGAUAUCACAUCAGACGACAUCACGUUUGUGGCAGAGAUAACAUCACAAAUUGUGCAGCAAAAUCUU